UGGCCAUUGAAGAACAAGUGGCUGUUAUUUAUGCUGGUGUAAGAGGGUAUCUUGAUAAAUUGGAGCCCAGCAAGAUCACAAAGUUUGAGCAUGCUUUCCUGGCUCAUGUUAUCAGCCAGCACCAGGCCCUGUUGGGCGAUAUAAGGACUGAUGGAAAGAUCUCAGAACAGUCAGAUGCUAAGCUAAAAGAGAUUGUAACAAACUUCUUGGCUGGAUUUGAAGCUUAAAAACUCCUGUGGAUUCACAUGAAAUACCAGUUAUGGUUUUGUCGUCGUUUAUUCUAGUAAUCAUUUCCAUUUGUAAAAGGAUUACUCUCAUACUCCAGAUGUACAGAAAUUACCUUAAAAAUAAAGGUUCCAUAUUGGUUGGUGGUU